GGAAUAUUGGACAAUGGGGGGAACCCUGAUCCAGCGACGCCGCGUGAGUGAAGAAGUAUUUCGGUAUGUAAAGCUCUAUCAGCAGGGAAGAAAAUGACGGUACCUGACUAAGAAGCCCCGGCUAACUACGUGCCAGCAGCCGCGGUAAUACGUAGGGGGCAAGCGUUAUCCGGAUUUACUGGGUGUAAAGGGAGCGUAGACGGUUGUGCAAGUCUGAUGUGAAAACCCGGGGCUCAACUCCGGGAUUGCAUUGGAAACUGUAUAACUAGAGUGCAGGAGAGGUAAGUGGAAUUCCUAGUGUAGCGGUGAAAUGCGUAGAUAUUAGGAGGAACACCGGCGGCGAAGGCGGCUUACUGGACUGUAACUGACGUUGAGGCUCGAAAGCGUGGGGAGCAAACA
rnacentral:rRNA from 1 species